GAUGAACGCUGACAGAAUGCUUAACACAUGCAAGUCUUUGGCGAAUCUGUGCUUGCACAGGCUAGCCAAGGCGGACGGGUGAGUAACGCGUAAAGAACUUGCCCUGCAGACAGGGAUAACAGACGGAAACGACUGAUAACACCUGAUACAGUUGCCGGCACGCAUGUGCCUGGCAAUGAAAAGAGAUACUGCAGGAGAGCUUUGCGUCCUAUUAGCUUGUUGGUGAGGUGACGGCUCACCAAGGCGAUGAUAGGUAGCCGGCCUGAGAGGGUGAACGGCCACAAGGGGACUGAGAUACGGCCCUUACUCCUACGGGAGGCAGCAGUGGGGAAUAUUGGACAAUGGGGGCAACCCUGAUCCAGCAAUUCUGUGUGCACGAAGAAGGUUUUCGGAUUGUAAAGUGCUUUCAGCAGGGAAGAAGAAAGUGACGGUACCUGCAGAAGAAGCGACGGCUAAAUACGU
rnacentral:rRNA from 1 species